UACGGAGGGUGCAAGCGUUAUCCGGAUUUACUGGGCUUAAAGGGUGCGUAGGCGGCCAGGUAAGUCCGUGGUGAAAUCUCUGAGCUUAACUCAGAAACUGCCAUGGAUACUAUUUGUCUUGAAUACUGUGGAGGUAAGCGGAAUAUGUCAUGUAGCGGUGAAAUGCUUAGAUAUGACAUGGAACACCAAUUGCGAAGGCAGCUUACUGCACAGCUAUUGACGCUGAGGCGCGAAAGCGUGGGGAGCAAACAGG
rnacentral:rRNA from 1 species